rnacentral:rRNA from 1 species
AUUGAACGCUGGCGGCAUGCCUUACACAUGCAAGUCGAACGGCAGCACGGGAGCAAUCCUGGUGGCGAGUGGCGAACGGGUGAGUAAUAUAUCGGAACGUGCCCAGUAGUGGGGGAUAACUGCUCGAAAGAGCAGCUAAUACCGCAUACGACCUGAGGGUGAAAGGGGGGGAUCGCAAGACCUCGCGCGAUUGGAGCGGCCGAUAUCAGAUUAGGUAGUUGGUGAGGUAAAGGCUCACCAAGCCGACGAUCUGUAGCUGGUCUGAGAGGACGACCAGCCACACUGGGACUGAGACACGGCCCAGACUCCUACGGGAGGCAGCAGUGGGGAAUUUUGGACAAUGGGCGCAAGCCUGAUCCAGCCAUGCCGCGUGCGGGAAGAAGGCCUUCGGGUUGUAAACCGCUUUUGUCAGGGAAGAAAAGGUUCUGGCUAAUACCUGGGACUCAUGACGGUACCUGAAGAAUAAGCACCGGCUAACUACGUGCCAGCCGCCGCGGUAACAC